GCCAGCUACGAUAGGUUGAAUGCAUUAUUUUCCUAUGGAUCACUGAAGUUAAGAAACGUUGCGCACGGUUGAUAUAUUGAUGGGUUACCAUUUGGGCAAGCGUGUGUUGCUGGCU
rnacentral:rRNA from 1 species